GACGAACGCUGGCGGCGUGCCUAACACAUGCAAGUCGAGCGGAGUCGAUCGACGGAAGCCUUCGGGCGGAAGAUGGUUGACUUAGCGGCGGAUGGGUGAGUAACGCGUGGGCAACCUGCCUCGAAGACCGGGAUAACAGCCCGAAAGGGCUGCUAAUACCGGAUGUGGUCAAGGAUCCGCAUGGAUUUUUGAUUAAAGGGGAAACCCGUUUCGAGAUGGGCCCGCGUCCUAUCAGCUAGUUGGUGAGGUAAAAGCUCACCAAGGCGACGACGGGUAGCCGGCCUGAGAGGGUGACCGGCCACACUGGAACUGAGACACGGUCCAGACUCCUACGGGGGGCAGCAGUGGGGAAUCUUCCACAAUGGGCGAAAGCCUGAUGGAGCGACGCCGCGUGAGCGAAGAAGGCCUUGGGUUGUAAAGCUCUGUCUGGAGGGACGAAGGAAGUGACGGUACCUCCGGAGGAAGCCACGGCAACUACGUG
rnacentral:rRNA from 1 species